rnacentral:rRNA from 1 species
AUUGAACGCUGGCGGCAGGCUUAACACAUGCAAGUCGAGCGGGGAGAUGUAGCUUGCUACAUAUCCUAGCGGCGGACGGGUGAGUAAUGCUUAGGAAUCUGCCUAUUAGUGGGGGACAACAUUCCGAAAGGAAUGCUAAUACCGCAUACGCCCUACGGGGGAAAGCAGGGGAUCUUCGGACCUUGCGCUAAUAGAUGAGCCUAAGUCGGAUUAGCCAGUUGGUGGGGUAAAGGCCUACCAAGGCGACGAUCUGUAGCGGGUCCGAGAGGAUGAUCCGCCACACUGGGAAUGAGACACGGCCCAGACUCCUAAGGGGGGCAGCAGUGGGGAAUAUUGGACAAUGGGCGCAAGCCUGAUCCCGCCAUGCCGCGUGUGUGAAGAAGGCCUUUUGGUUGUAAAGCACUUUAAGCGAGGAGGAGGCUCCUUUAGUUAAUUCCUAAAGAGAGUGGACGUUACUCGCAGAAUAAGCACCGGCUAACUCUGUG